rnacentral:rRNA from 1 species
UUAGAGUUUGAUCCUGGCUCAGGAUGAACGCUGGCGGCGUGCCUAACACAUGCAAGUCGAACGGGCUUAACAUGAAACCUAGUGAUUGUUAAGUUAGUGGCGGACGGGUGAGUAACGCGUGGAUAACCUGCCGUAUGCAGGGGGAUAACAGUUGGAAACAGCUGCUAAUACCGCAUAAGCGCACAGUACCGCAUGGUGCAGUGCGAAAAGAUUUAUCGGCAUACGAUGGAUCCGCGUCCGAUUAGCCAGUUGGCAGGGUAACGGCCUACCAAAGCGACGAUCAGUAGCCGGCCUGAGAGGGCGGACGGCCACAUUGGGACUGAGACACGGCCCGGACUCCUACGGGAGGCAGCAGUGGGGGAUAUUGCACAAUGGGGGGAACCCUGAUGCAGCGACACCGCGUGGGUGAGGAAGCGCUUCGGCGUGUAAAGCCCUAUCAGUGGGGAAGAAAAGAGACGGUACCCAAAGAAGAAGCACCGGCUAAAUACGUGCCAGCAGCCGCGGUAAUACGUAUGGUGCAAGCGUUAUCCGGAAUGACUGGGUGUAAAGGGAGCGUAGACGGUUGUUCAAGUCUGAUGUGAAAGCCCUCGGCUUAACUGGGGGAGUGCAUUGGAAACUGAAGGACUAGAGUAUCGGAGAGGUAAGUGGAAUUCCUAGUGUAGCGGUGAAAUGCGUAGAUAUUAGGAGGAACACCAGUGGCGAAGGCGGCUUACUGGACUGUAACUGACGUUGAGGCUCGAAAGCGUGGGGAGCAAACAGGAUUAGAUACCCUGGUAGUCCACGCCGUAAACGAUGAUCACUAGGUGUCGGGGGUUAAAGAACCUUCGGUGCCGCAGCCAACGCAGUAAGUGAUCCACCUGGGGAGUACGUUCGCAAGAAUGAAACUCAAAGGAAUUGACGGGGGCCCGCACAAGCGGUGGAGUAUGUGGUUUAAUUUGAAGCAACGCGAAGAACCUUACCAGGGCUUGACAUCCCGGUGACCGCGCUAGAGAUAGCGUUUUCCCUUCGGGGACUUCUCACACAGGUGGUGCAUGGUUGUCGUCAGCUCGUGUCGUGAGAUGUUGGGUUAAGUCCCGCAACGAGCGCAACCCCUAUUGUUAGUUGCUACGCAAGAGCACUCUAGCGAGACUGCCGUUGACAAAACGGAGGAAGGUGGGGACGACGUCAAAUCAUCAUGCCCCUUAUGUCCUGGGCUACACACGUAAUACAACGGCGGUCAACAGAGGGAUGCAAAGCCGCGAGGCAGAGCGAACCCCAAAAAGCCGUCCCAGUUCGGAUCGCAGGCUGCAACCCGCCUGCGUGAAGUCGGAAUCGCUAGUAAUCGCGGAUCAGCAUGCCGCGGUGAAUACGUUCCCGGGCCUUGCACUCACCGCCCGUCA